CCUGUCAAGCAGCCUGGAAAAAGUUUGGUGACAACUGUUACUAUCUAACAGCUGGAAAGAGAAACUGGACUGCAAGCAGAGACUACUGCAACACCCAAGGAGCUGAUCUGGUCAUCCUAAAAGGCACGGAUAAACAGGUAUUUGUCAAUGAGUUAAUGGGAUCUGGCGUAGAGGCCUGGAUUGGUCUGACUGACAGCGUUACAGAGGGGACCUGGAAGUGGGUGGAUGGGACUACACACUCGCCGGCUUCCAACAGUUCCGUCGGGAACAAGGAUUGUGUAGAAAUGCGGCACAAAAGUCCAUCUGGAGAGUGGUACGAAGAAGAGUGUUCUACUUCAAAUGUCUGCGUCUGUGAAAAAUGAUAUCCCUGUAAUAUAAAGAUAACUGACUACAUUUACACAUCUCUAUCCAAAUCAUCACAUUUUAGUCUACAGACAGACAAAUCCUGAAGUAUUUGCUUUAUUAAUUCAAAACAAGUAAACCUUGAUGCAGUACCCUGUUAAUGAUUUCAUAUAUUGAACAUUUUGCUGAUGAUUUCUGUUUGCUCCAAUGAAUCUAUGGCUAUGUUGUACAAAACAGAUUUUGCUAUCAAUGACUUGUCCUGAUACUGUAAUAUGUUG